AUUGUCGUGAGAAGGGUGGUAUUUUGGUGGAGCAAAGGUGAUGUGUGGUGUAGAGAAGUGGCAUUUGGGGCUGUAGGCGUCUUAGUUUGGGGAGCGCAGUGGUAUGUGGGGGGAGAGAGUGUCUUCUUUUAGGGAGCACAGUGGUGUUUUGGGGAGAAAAGUCUGAUUUGGGGGUGAAGAGUGGUUUUGUGGUCGGGAAAAUGCCUUCUUGACGAAAGUGAGAUUUGGGUCGAGAAAGUCUCAUCUAUGGAGGAGAAAAGAGGUCCUGAGGGGAAGAAACGGUUAUUUUGGGAGAAAAGUGGCGUUUUCGAGAGGAGAGAUCUGGUGUUUGGGGAGAAAAGUCUGAUUUGGGGGUGAAGAGUGGUUUUGUGGUCGGGAAAAUGCCUUCUUGACGAAAGUGAGAUUUGGGUCGAGAAAGUCUCAUCUAUGGAGGAGAAAAGAGGUCCUGAGGGGAAGAAACGGUCGUAUUUUUGGGAGAAAAGUGGCGUUUUUGAGAGGAGAGAUCGUAGUUUUGGAGAAGAGUGGUAUGGUGUGGGAAGAAAAAUGGUCAUGUCUUUGGGAGAAAAGUGGUAUUUUGCAAGGAAGAGCUGUAUAUUUUCAGGAGAAAUGUGGCAUGAUGCGCGAAGGAAAGGCCGUAUGUUCUGGAGAAAAGUAGCGUUUGGGGGAGAAACUGUCCUGUUUUGGAGAGAGAAUUUGCAUGUUGUGGAGAAAAAAGGGAGCGCGCGAAGGAAACGUCGUCUUUUUGGAAAGCAAACAGCUUUGUAUUUGGCAGGCGAGAAGUCAUGUUUUGUGGAGAGCAGUGGUAUUUAGUGGAGAAAGAGUCUUGUUUCGGUGAGACAAGGGGUACUUGGGGGAGAAAAUGUCCUAUUCUUUCCGACCCAGAAAUGGAUUUUCUCCCCCAG
ensembl:lncRNA